GCCGGGUGCAGUGGCUCACGCCUGUAAUCCCAGCACUGGGAGGCAGAGGCGGGCGGAUCACCUGAGGUCAGGAGUUCACAACAAUCCUGACCAACAUGGUGAAACCCCGUCUCUA
rfam:Pongo abelii chromosome 16.